rnacentral:rRNA from 1 species
UAACACCUGGAAACAGAUGCUAAUACCGGAUAACAACAGAUGAUGCCUAUCAACUGUUUAAAAGAUGGUUCUGCUAUCACUCUUGGAUGGACCUGCGGUGCAUUAGCUAGUUGGUAGGGUAACGGCCUACCAAGGCGAUGAUGCAUAGCCGAGUUGAGAUACUGAUCGGCCACAUUGGGACUGAGACACGGCCCAAACUCCUACGGGAGGCAGCAGGU